GUACAAACGUGAUCAUUUUAUUGUUCUUUGCUCUAAUAUCAUUUUAUAAAAAUUAAUAAGAAAUAAAACAACUGCUGAAACUAAAAUGAUAGGAAGCAUAUGUCUCAAACUUAAUACUAUAAAGACCAUAUUAGAAAUCUGAAGCAUGACAAAAAUGUAACUCUCUGGCCUCAACUGACUAGUCAUGGAUCCUACUACAUUCUUUCUGCAUAUUGAACCAACCUUCUGGGGAGACAGUGGACCUACCAGACACCUACCGGACUGCAACAAGUGGGCACACUGCUUUUGACUCUCCUCUAGACUUCUUGUCAACUUAUUAAUGAUCUCAGUCUUUUCUAACUUGAUUGCUUCUUGAUUCCUUUCCAGUUGUUUCACGUGAUCUUUCAGACGAGAGCAAAUGUCUUCC
rnacentral:lncRNA from 10 species